rnacentral:rRNA from 1 species
GUGGGGAAUAUUGGACAAUGGGCGAAAGCCUGAUCCAGCCAUGCCGCGUGUGUGAAGAAGGUCUUCGGAUUGUAAAGCACUUUAAGUUGGGAGGAAGGGCAGUAAGCUAAUACCUUGCUGUUUUGACGUUACCGACAGAAUAAGCACCGGCUAACUUCGUGCCAGCAGCCGCGGUAAUACGAAGGGUGCAAGCGUUAAUCGGAAUUACUGGGCGUAAAGCGCGCGUAGGUGGUUUUGUAAGUUGAAGGUGAAAUCCCCGGGCUCAACCUGGGAACUGCCUCCAAAACUGCAUGACUAGAGUACGGUAGAGGGUAGUGGAAUUUCCUGUGUAGCGGUGAAAUGCGUAGAUAUAGGAAGGAACACCAGUGGCGAAGGCGACUACCUGGACUGAUACUGACACUGAGGUGCGAAAGCGUGGGGAGCAAACAGGAUUAGAAACCCCUGUAGUCC